AUGGUCGUCAGGUAGGUUACCAGCUCAUGGUCGUCAGGUAGGGUACCAGCUCAUGGUCGUCAGGUAGGGUACCAGCUCAUGGUCGUCAGGUAGGGUACCAGCUCAUGGUCGUCAGGUAGGGUACCAGCUCAUGGUCGUCAGGUAGGGUACCAGCUCAUGGUCGUCAGGUAGGGUACCAGCUCAUGGUCGUCAGGUAGGGUACCAGCUCAUGGUCGUCAGGUAGGGUACCAGCUCAUGGUCGUCAGGUAGGGUACCAGCUCAUGGUCGUCAGGUAGGGUACCAGCUCAUGGUAGGGUACCAGCUCAUGGUAGGGUACCAGCUCAUGGUCGUCAGGUAGGGUACCAGCUCAUGGUCGUCAGGUAGGGUACCAGCUCAUGGUCGUCAGGUAGGGUACCAGCUCAUGGUCGUCAGGUAGGGUACCAGCUCAUGGUAGGGUACCAGCUCAUGGUCGUCAGGUAGGGUCCCAGCUCAUGGUCGUCAGGUAGGGUACCAGCUCAUGGUCGUCAGGUAGGGUACCAGCUCAUGGUCGUCAGGUAGGGUACCAGCUCAUGGUCGUCAGGUAGGGUACCAGCUCAUGGUCGUCAGGUAGGGUCCCAGCUCAUGGUCGUCAGGUAGGGUCCCAGCUCAUGGUCGUCAGGUAGGGUCCCAGCUCAUGGUCGUCAGGUAGGGUACCAGCUCAUGGUCGUCAGGUAGGGUACCAGCUCAUGGUCGUCAGGUAGGGUACCAGCUCAUGGUAGGGUACCAGCUCAUGGUCGUCAGGUAGGGUACCAGCUCA